rnacentral:rRNA from 1 species
UGGGGAAUAUUGGACAAUGGGCGAAAGCCUGAUCCAGCCAUGCCGCGUGUGUGAAGAAGGUCUUCGGAUUAUAAAGCACUUUAAGUUGGGAGGAAGGGCAUUAACCUAAUACGUUAGUGUUUUGACGUUACCGACAGAAUAAGCACCGGCUAACUCUGUGCCAGCAGCCGCGGUAAUACAGAGGGUGCAAGCGUUAAUCGGAAUUACUGGGCGUAAAGCGCGCGUAGGUGGUUUGUUAAGUUGGAUGUGAAAUCCCCGGGCUCAACCUGGGAACUGCAUUCAAAACUGACUGACUAGAGUAUGGUAGAGGGUGGUGGAAUUUCCUGUGUAGCGGUGAAAUGCGUAGAUAUAGGAAGGAACACCAGUGGCGAAGGCGACCACCUGGACUAAUACUGACACUGAGGUGCGAAAGCGUGGGGAGCAAACA